rnacentral:rRNA from 1 species
AUUGAACGCUGGCGGCAGGCCUAACACAUGCAAGUCGAGCGAGCGGCGGACGGGUGAGUAAUGUAUGGGGACUGCCUGAUGGAGGGGGAUAACUACUGGAAACGGUAGCUAAUACCGCAUACUAUCAGAUAACCCAUAUGGGAUUAUAUAGUAGGUGAGGUAAUGGCUCACCUAGGCGACGAUCCCUAGCUGGUCUGAGAGGAUGAUCAGCCACACUGGGACUGAGACACGGCCCAGACUCCUACGGAGGCAGCAGUGGGGAAUAUUGCACAAUGGGCGCAAGCCUGAUGCAGCCAUGCCGCGUGUAUGAAGAAGGCCCUAGGGUUGUAAAGUACUUUCAGUCGGGAGGCGUUACCGACAGAAGAAGCACCGGCUAACUCCGUGCCAGCAGCCGCGGUAAUAC